AACGAACGCUGGCGGCAUGCCUAACACAUGCAAGUCGAACGAGACCUUCGGGUCUAGUGGCGCCCGGGUGCGUAACGCGUGGGAACCUGCCCUUAGGUUCGGAAUAACUCCCCGAAAGGGGUGCUAAUACCGGAUAAUGUCUUCGGACCAAAGAUUUAUCGCCCUUGGAUGGGCCCGCGUUGGAUUAGCUAGUUGGUAGGGUAAAAGCCUACCAAGGCGACGAUCCAUAGCUGGUCUGAGAGGAUGAUCAGCCACACUGGGACUGAGACACGGCCCAGACUCCUACGGGAGGCAGCAGUGGGGAAUAUUGGACAAUGGGCGAAAGCCUGAUCCAGCAAUGCCGCGUGAGUGAUGAAGGCCUUAGGGUUGUAAAGCUCUUUUACCCGGGAUGAUAAUGACAGUACCGGAAGAAUAAGCUCCGGCUAACUCCGUG
rnacentral:rRNA from 1 species